ACCUCAGAUCACUGUCUGUUUUGACAUUGAUGCCAAUGGCAUUCUCAAUGUAUCUGCCGAGGACAAGACUACAGGCCAGAAGAACAAGAUUACUAUCACUAAUGACAAGGGAAGACUGUCCAAGGAGGAGAUUGAGAAGAUGGUGCAAGAAGCGGAGAAAUACAAGUCAGAGGAUGAGGAGGUCAAGAAGAAGGUGGAGUCCAAGAAUGCCCUGGAGAACUAUGCUUAUAACAUGAGGAACACCAUCAAGGAUGAGAAGAUUGCUUCCAAGCUUGACGCAGGGGACAAGAAGAAGAUU
rnacentral:lncRNA from 1 species